rnacentral:rRNA from 1 species
GAUGAACGCUGGCGGCGUGCCUAAUACAUGCAAGUCGAGCGAACAGACGAGGAGCUUGCUCCUUUGACGUUAGCGGCGGACGGGUGAGUAACACGUAGGUAACCUACCUAUAAGACUGGGAUAACUUCGGGAAACCGGGGCUAAUACCGGAUAAUAUUUCGAACCGCAUGGUUCGAUAGUGAAAGAUGGCUUUGCUAUCACUUAUAGAUGGACCUGCGCCGUAUUAGCUAGUUGGUAAGGUAACGGCUUACCAAGGCAACGAUACGUAGCCGACCUGAGAGGGUGAUCGGCCACACUGGAACUGAGACACGGUCCAGACUCCUACGGGAGGCAGCAGUAGGGAAUCUUCCGCAAUGGGCGAAAGCCUGACGGAGCAACGCCGCGUGAGUGAUGAAGGUCUUCGGAUCGUAAAACUCUGUUAUUAGGGAAGAACAAACGUGUAAGUAACUGUGCACGUCCUGACGGUACCUAAUCAGAAAGCCGCGGCUAACUACGUG